UGGGGAAUUUUGGACAAUGGGCGAAAGCCUGAUCCAGCAAUGCCGCGUGUGUGAAGAAGGCCUUCGGGUUGUAAAGCACUUUUGUCCGGAAAGAAAUCCUUGGCUCUAAUACAGUCGGGGGAUGACGGUACCGGAAGAAUAAGCACCGGCUAACUACGUGCCAGCAGCCGCGGUAAUACGUAGGGUGCAAGCGUUAAUCGGAAUUACUGGGCGUAAAGCGUGCGCAGGCGGUUUGCUAAGACCGAUGUGAAAUCCCCGGGCUCAGCCUGGGAACUGCAUUGGUGACUGGCAGGCUAGAGUAUGGCAGAGGGGGGUAGAAUUCCACGUGUAGCAGUGAAAUGCGUAGAGAUGUGGAGGAAUACCGAUGGCGAAGGCAGCCCCCUGGGCCAAUACUGACGCUCAUGCACGAAAGCGUGGGGAGCAAACAGGAUUAGAUACCCUGGUAGUCCACGCCCUAAAACGAUGUCAACUAGUUGUUGGGGAUUCAUUUCCUUAGUAACGUAGCUAACGCGUGAAGUUGACCGCCUGGGGAGUACGGUCGCAAGAUUAAAACUCAAAUGAAUUGACGGGGUCAUAGCUGUUUCCU
rnacentral:rRNA from 1 species